AAACGACUCUCGGCAACGGAUAUCUCGGCUCUCAUAUCGAUGAAGAACGUAGCGAAAUGCGAUACUUGGUGUGAAUUGCAGAAUCCCGUGAACCAUCGAGUUUUUGAACGCAAGUUGCGCCCAAAGUCUUUUGGCUAAGGGCACGUCUGCCUGGGCGUCACGCAU
rnacentral:rRNA from 1 species